AAGCAGGGGAUCGUAAGACCUUGCGCUUUUGGAGCGGCCGAUGCCUGAUUAGCUAGUUGGUGGGGUAAAGGCCUACCAAGGCGACGAUCAGUAGUUGGUCUGAGAGGACGACCAGCCACACUGGGACUGAGACACGGCCCAGACUCCUACGGGAGGCAGCAGUGGGGAAUUUUGGACAAUGGGCGAAAGCCUGAUCCAGCAAUGCCGCGUGAGUGAAGAAGGCCUUCGGGUUGUAAAGCUCUUUCAGUCGAGAAGAAAAAAUUGUGAUGAAUAAUCACAAUUCAUGACGGUAUCGACAGAAGAAGCACCGGCUAACUACGUGCCAGCAGCCGCGGUAAUACGUAGGGUGCAAGCGUUAAUCGGAAUUACUGGGCGUAAAGGGUGCGCAGGCGGCUUUGUAAGUCAGAUGUGAAAUCCCCGGGCUUAACCUGGGAAUUGCGUUUGAAACUACAAAGCUAGAGU
rnacentral:rRNA from 1 species